rnacentral:lncRNA from 10 species
UCAGUGAUCCAAAUGCACAUUAAAAUUUGAGAGACACUGGACUAAUGCACUGGUUCUCAAAUUUUCUGCACAUUUGAAUUAUUUUGAGAGCUUUAAAAAUAUUGAUUCCUGAGUCCUAUCCCCAGAGAUUAUGAUUUAUUUGUCUGGAGUAUAGACUGAACAUCAUAUUUUUAAAAGAUCUUAGAUGAUUCUAAUACGUACCAAAGACUAGAAACCAUUGCUCUAGGCCAUGAACCUGCACAGGUUUACAGCUUCUUACAGACAAGAAAGAAGUUGUACAACUCUUAUUGCUGUAGAUAUCAUGAAUGAUGAUGUCAGCUUGUCCUUAAUGGAAGCUUUGCUGCUUUCAUUCUCUCUUUCCAUUGGGAUAAAUCUAUGCCCUCUACACAUCAUUUUACUGGACAGGGCCAUAAACUACAUAGAAAUGGAGAGGGCAUAGAGCUAUGCAGAUGGUGGUAAAACACUUAGGUACCUAUAUUCUUCUUUCUGGUUCUAGCCAUUACUGUUUUAUUGCCCUUCUUUCCCCUCUCCUGAUGCACAGGUGCAUUAUGGUCACCGUGCAUUCCUUCUCAGCAGCUGGGAAUCCCCUGCAGCUGAUGUCUUUGCUACUCCAUUUGUUGGCAAGCAACUACUGUGUUGGUACCACUCCACAUAAAAAUUCACCAAGACUCCCAAUCUCUGAGAUUGAGGGAAACCUUUACGGACUAAAUUGGAUCUUCUAAAAUGUUUCCUGGUUUUGGUGUGUGACAAAUGUUUGUUCAUACCAAGGUUUAGGAAAUCCAGAUGUUUAACAGGGCACUGAUGGAAAUCAAGGAGUUCCAAUGUUUAAAUCUUUCAUGUGUUCUAGACCUAUAGGUCUCAAAGAAUGUGUCAUCUUAAACAGUUUUAAUUGUCUUUUCAGAAUUGCAAGAAUAUAUGAUUAAAUUUCAUGUUCUUUGGUAUAUUUAGCUUUCAAAAAGCACCUAUGCGAUAAGAAAAUUAAAAAUCUGGACAUUCUAGGCAGUUUAAGUGUAAACUUCUGCCACAUAUUUUCAUUUCUCUGUGUACACCAAAGACAAAUACUUAUCUACAAAAUUUGACCAUUUUGAUGAUUAUUAUGAGACAUUUGACAGCGUGGCUUAUUGGAAACAGUCUAAUUAUAUUUAGGGAUUAAAAGAAAUAUUUCAUUGAUAAAAAUAUAAAUAUACUCUGAUAUAUUGCCUUGAACCAGUGAUUAUAAGGAAAAGCAUUAAUUCAUUCUCUAUGUGAAAACACUCAUUGAACAUUUAUCAAUAUCUAUAAAGGUGGGAGGUUUCAAAAAAUAAAUAAUACCAAAUAGUAAAUUAGGAAAGAAAAGAUUGAAUAGAGAGACUUUUCAAAUUCUAAAGAAGAAAUUUAGGGAAUUUCAGCGACAGAAUUAACCAAGAACUUCUGAAAUUUGACAUCACUGCAGGUAUCCAGGACUACAAAUAAAACCAGGAAAAUUUAUCAGGAUAGGUGCUCUUCUUAGGCCUACUAACAACCAAAUAAAAUCACCUAUGCCUCUCUGGAUUCCAAAAAUAUAUUCCUGAUUGUGACCAAUUCCGGAAAUCCACUCUUGCCAGCAUCUGUGAGAAAC